GACGAACGCUGGCGGCGUGCUUAACACAUGCAAGUCGAACGGAAAGGUCAUGCUCUUGUGGGGUGCACGAGUGGCGAACGGGUGAGUAACACGUGAGUAACCUGCCCUUGUCUUUGGGAUAUCUUCAGGAAACUCGGGCUCAUACAGGAUAGGAGCUCCUGAUGCAUGGUGGGGGUUGGAAAGAUUCGGCGGUUGGGGAUGGACUGGCUGCUUAUCAGCCUGUUGGUGAGGUAGUGGAUUACCAAGGCUUUGACGGGUAGCCGGCCUGAGAGGGGGGCCGGGCACAAUAGUCCUAAGAUACGGCCCAGACGCCUACGGGAGGCAGCAGUGGGGAAUAUUGCACAAUGGGCGGAAGCCUGAUGCAGCAGCGCCGCGUUCGGGAUGACGUCCUUCGGGGUGUGAACCACUGUCGCCGGUGACGAAGCGUGAGUGACGGUAAUUGGUAAAGAAGCACCGGCUAACUACGUG
rnacentral:rRNA from 1 species